rnacentral:rRNA from 1 species
UCGAGGAUCUUCGGCAAUGGGCGCAAGCCUGACCGAGCGACGCCGCGUGUGCGAUGAAGGCCUUCGGGUUGUAAAGCACUGUCGAGGGGGAGGAAGCUCCGUAAGGAGUUGACCUAUCCCUGGAGGAAGCACGGGCUAAGUUCGUGCCAGCAGCCGCGGUAAUACAGAGGGUGCGAGCGUUAAUCGGAAUUACUGGGCGUAAAGCGCACGUAGGUGGCGACGUAAGUCGGGUGUGAAAGCCCCGGGCUCAACCUGGGAACCGCAUUCGAGACUGCGUUGCUGGAGUACGGAAGAGGAGGGCGGAAUUCCCGGUGUAGCGGUGAAAUGCGUAGAUAUCGGGAGGAACAUCAGUGGCGAAGGCGGCCCUCUGGUCCAGUACUGACACUCAAGUGCGAAAGCGUGGGGAGCAAACAGGAUUAGAUACCCCAGUAGUCCCUGAGCGGGCUGGCAAGGCGCAU